rnacentral:misc_RNA from 1 species
GUUGACUUGUCACAACCCUUGUCUGUGGAGCAUUUAGGCACUUAUCGGCGUAUCUCGAGUGCGUAAAGUCGUUAACAUUAGCAAAUCGCCACCCAAAGGCAGCAAAUGCAUUUUGCAUUGAUUUUGAAAAGAAGAAGCUAAAAAGCCACUACAAACGUUUGAAAAGUGCUGAGUGAAAGAGCAGCGAAGAGCUUACAUGCUAUUUGUGGAUAUACAGAGAAUCGAACGCCAGCAGUAUAUGCUUUUCUGGUGCGCAUAGAAGCGUUGAAGAGUGUAAAGCAGUCACUACCAGUAGGAAGGAAUAAACGAAGCAACAAAGCGGACAGCAGCCACAAAGCCAACUGAAGCCGCAGGCGAGCAGCGUUGAUUGUUUGUAGUAGUGCAGUAAAUAUAAAACAACUAGUUUUGAAAAAAGAAAAAAUUAAAAGUGAAUGAAACAUUGUUGCCAGCGACAGCAAGCACAAACAACAAAAAAAGUACUUAGUCAACACCAUAACUACUCCCUUGCGUUGAGUGUGUGUGUGUGUGGGGAAAAGCCGGAAGCAAAGCACUUGAAAGCAAGACAUUCAAAUCAGCACCCACAAUGGCAAUAACAACAACAGUAACAACAGCGGCAACAAAAUAAUAUGCUGUAGCAAGUUUCAGGCGGCUACAAUAAUAACAACAGUAACAAAAAGCACGCUCCCACACAAUCAAUUGUUGUGCUUAAAUAGCGGUGUGCCUAUGUUGCCAAUGCCUUAACGGUUACUGAUGCCUCUGACUCUGCGGCUGCUGCUGACAGUGACAGUGAAUGAGAAAGGCGCAAAAAUAAAGUGGCAUAAAUAAAGUUGAGUGCUCACAAUGGAGCGAAAAUAAAGCAUUUAACAAGUGCAACAACAAAAAGCGACAGCCAAAGCAAAAAAAAAAAAAACAAAAAAACAAGAAGAAGACAGAAUUAUGUAAAAAUGUGUCGUGUGUCGGUUUUUUGCUGACAGCAAAAGAAAUUAACACAAAAGGCUGGACAAAUCAAGUUGAGCGUGGCUGCUGUGGGCACUGAGCUUCGGUUUUAGUAAAGCGUAAGUCUCUUAAGCACAGCAGCAGAACAUCCGAACAGCCUGGCACACAUAACCAACGACUCUAAGGACCCCUUGUCAUUUGGUUGUGCCCUGCCAUUGUGAAAUGAAUCAAUUUAAAUGCUAAAGUGUCGCUAAAGAAAGUAAAGAACAUUAAAGAAUAAGAGCAAAAAUAAAAUAAAUAAAAAAAUCUCUGUGAAAGAUAUUGAGCAUAAACGAGCUGUGGGGCGGUCACUAGCGAUUGCCGGACAGCAAGAAUGCCAGAUUUUGAUUAUCAACUUAAUUUUCGGACAUGAGACAAGCCUAAACUGAUGUAUCAGCAUAAAUGACAUAAAUGAUAUUAGACCUGAAGGCACUGAAUAGAUGUCACAGCCUGUGGUGGCAUGAACGAAGACAGCUAAACAAUGUUGAGUACGAAAAUAAUGGCGCUCAUGAUUAAUAAUUUGACACAUUUAAUAUACUCAAGGCACGCAGACUGCUAAAGCGAGGCGCAUAUUUUAGUACAGCUGCCAUUAAAUAAAAUAUAAAGUGCGCACGUGACAAAAAUUACGAACAAGACUUUAAGAUGGUGGCAUUGUAAAUAAGAAAUACCAACAAUUUAAAGAAAACUUUGCAUAAACUUGAUGAAAAUUUUAUAAUAUAAAAGACUAAAGCGCUAAUUGAAAGCUACAAUAAACUAACGCUGAAAAGUAUGCAAUAAAAAUACUUAAAAAUAAAUAUAUACAAAAGUGAAUAUCAAAGCAUACUUUCUGGUGCACGUAUAAAAGCGUCACAUUGUCGUCGCCUACUCCACACGGGACGCUUAAAGAGCAUGGUUUUGGACACGCAACGCUGCUGACGCUGUCGAACUCAUAAAAAACGGCAUACUUUAAGGCGCUUGCUGUUAACUAUAUCCAUAAAUGCACCUGCCUUACAGUUAGCAUCAUAUAUCUAUUUACAAACUACAUAUACACAAUGCGUCAACAACAACAUUCAUUCGAACGCCUUUUACUGCCACUCACACUCAUCGUGCUGGUCUCUUGCCGCUUAGCGCUCACCUGCCCAGCCACAGUUUGCACCUGCAAGUGGAAAGGUGGCAAGCAGACGGUGGAGUGUGGUGGUAAUCAGUUGCCUAACAUACCCGAAGGUAUGGAUCCCGGCACACAGGUACUCAACUUCUCAGGCAACAGCCUGCAAGUCUUGCAAAGUGAGCGUUUCCUGCGCAUGGAUCUGCUGAAUUUACAAAAAAUUUACUUAUCACGCAACCAACUGAUACGCAUACACGAGAAGGCCUUUCGUGGCCUGACAAAUCUCGUCGAAUUGGAUUUGUCAGAUAAUUCAUUGCAAAAUGUACCCACCGAAACAUUUCAGGACUACAGCUCGCUAAUGCGGCUAUCUCUAAGCGGCAAUCCGAUACGCGAGCUGAAGACGUCGGCGUUUCGACAUCUCUCCUUUCUCACGACACUCGAAUUAAGCCACUGUCAAAUUGAGCGUAUUGAGAAUGAGGCCUUCAUUGGCAUGGACAAUCUGGAGUGGUUGCGUUUGGAUGGGAAUCGCAUCGGUUUCAUACAGGGCCAGCACAUACUGCCGAAAUCAUUGCAUGGCAUUAGCUUGCAGAGUAAUCGCUGGAUGUGCGACUGCAGGCUGUUGGACAUGCAUUCGUGGCUCAAUAACUAUGUAACGCCACAAGUUGAGGAGCCCAAGUGUGUGGAGCCGCCACGGCUAAAGGGACAAACGAUCAAGUCGUUGAAAAAGGAAGAACUCGCUUGCCUUCCUGAGGUGACUCCCUCUUCAACAUACACGGAGAUCUCCGAAGGUCGCAAUGUAUCAAUUGUGUGUGUGGUACGCGCCAUACCUGAGCCGCAAGUGCUGUGGCUCUUCAACGGUCAGGUGAUGACCAACGAUAGCCUCAUUGAUAAUCUGCAUAUGUACUAUUACAUCGAUGAGACUGGCAGCGCGGAGGAGAAGCGCAGCGAGAUAUUUAUUUACAAUGUGGGCGCCGAAGAUAACGGCACCUUCUCAUGUGUGGGGAAGAACGUCGCCGGCAUUACAUUCAGCAACUACACACUGCGCGUCAUUAUCAAGGAACCACCAGUGGUAAACGAGGUCUCUUUUCCACGCGACUACAUGAACUAUAUCAUUGCCAGUAGCACCGGCGCCGGUGUCAUAUUCGUGGUAAUGCUCUGCACCAUAGUUAUAAAGUGCAAACAGCGCCAGCCGAAUAAGCGUAAGAAGUGCGGUGGCGGUGGCUCAGUUACAAAUAUCGGAGGUGGUGGUGCACAUGCCUCAGAUAACGGCGGCAACGAGACGGGCUUAAUGAAAUGUUCGUCAAUACUCAAUGAUGGUGACUCGCUGAAUGGUGGAGCUGGGCUGUUGAUGGCCGAAGGCAUGACUCCCACUAAAUUGUGUAAAGAAAAUGGCAGCGUCAUUAUGGGCGGACAAAUGAAACAGAAUUUAUUGCUGUACGCGCCCGCGCACUACCAACAGCAAACACCCACAUCGGCAGCUGUGAUCGCUGAUGGCGGUCAAGCACUGCAGUUGAGCGUUAGCAUGGCAGGCGCGAGCGGCACACCGCCACCGCUACUAGUCGGCAACGCCAUCAGCUACUGUUCGCCACCGUCGUCGGUGCGUAAUUACCAAGAGAAAAAUCCCGACUUGGUUAAUGAUGCCGAGAGCGUUAAUCAUGGCAAGCUCAAAGCCACUGCAUCACUGGAUAUAGACUACGAUGCCGCCAGCGACUGUUCGGGUCCAUGCAGUAUACAAGGAAUGUCAACGACGCCGGUGCAGUUCGACAACUGCUAUCAACUGGCGCCACAAUAUGGCUCGCAAAUCAUACGACCGACGAAUAUGCAGAUGAACUCAGCGGCUGCUUCGCGCUUUGCCGCCAUGACAACGCUGCCGCGCGGUAUGCAACUUAAAACCGUAAUGAAUAGCAUGAGCGCCGCACCCGCGCCACAACACCAAGUGGAUGUGCAUCUGAACCCCGUGUGUUUUCUAGGACAAGACGGCUUUGCAUAUGACUAUAGCAACGCGCAUAUGCAGCAACCGGCACCAGCGCCACCCUCACAUCAUCACCUGCAACUACAGCCACAACUCUCACUGGGCGCCGAUCCAUCACAGUCGCAGCACAUACAACAGCAGAACUACUAUCGCACUUUGCCACACAAUCGCGCGCAUAAACAGCAGCAAUUUGCCGCCUCCGCCGCAAACUCUGGCAUGCGCUAUAGCUUAGAGGCUGAGUUUUUGCAGCGAUCCGGCACGCCAACGUACGAAAAGUACUUGCCCAAUGUGCGCUUCACCGCCGAGGGCUACCCGCAGACCCAGCAGCCGCACAUAGUGCAAUACCCAUCUCCACCAGAGGGUUACAAGAGCAGCCAAAGCCCUGCGCCUAGCAUGCAAGAAAGCAGCGCAAGUGGCGGCGGUGGUGUUGCCGGCGCUGGUGGCGCAUCAACAAUUUCAACUGCGAAAUUUCAACAGUGGCCGCCUUGUUUGCCCGGCUAUCAUGUGCAGUCCAUACGCUAUCCACCAACAAUUGUAGGCGUAUUAAGUCCACAGGGGCAUAUGCAGCAACAACAACAACAGCAGCAGCAGCAACAUAUGAUGCCACAUAAGUCGACUCCAACGGUUGUACUCACACCAAAUGGUCCAACAAAUCAAAUACAAGUGCCCACAAUAGCAACAACAACAACAACGGCAACAGCAAGCACCAGCACCGGCGGCACAUCCACAUCUAGCUCAGCAAUAAAACGCUGCGUCGCCGCACAAGCAGACUCCUCCACCAUUCCCGAAUGCGAUGAGAAUGACGUCUCGCCCACCACGUCCACCGCUGCGAGUAGUAGCAAUGAUGGCGGCAGCAGUAGUAGCAGCAGCAGCGCAACCACAGUUACAAUGUCUGCCAGCAACACAACGGCAACAACAGCAACAGCAGCAGCGUCUGCAACCGAAGAAUCCUCGAAACUGCGGCAUUUAAACGGGCCACUAGCCGACAGUCCGGACGAAGGUUACGUGGGCGAUUCGCAUGAAGGCUCUGAUAUUUGACGACGCGGCGCCUUAGGGAACGCCUGUGCAGCGGCAAAUGCAAAACACAGCAGAAGCGGUGGAAGUGGGGGUGUAAGUGGUUGUAAUGCGGUUAAAAUGGACGAUUCGGUGGCAUUGUAGAGUAGCUGCGGCUAUGCGAAGAUACAUUUCAGAAAAGCGCCUGUAAAACGAAAAAUGCAAUGUUGGAGAUUAGUAUACUUUAAAAUAUUUCGCUAGAAAUAUAAAGAGCGUCUGUGCAUAACUAUUUUAAUUUUUUGUCAUUUUACUAAAAU